rnacentral:sRNA from 1 species
AAUAUUCAAAUAAGGUAAGACAGUGUGUCGAAUGAUAGCAAAGUUGUAGGGAUAUUAUUUAAAAAUAUGACGUUAAGUGUGGUGAAUAAUUUUUGAGUAAGCUUUUUGACAGCAUCGCAAAUGUUGGCGUUUCAUUGAGCAAAGUCCCUUGUCAGUAAUUGUAAAUUCAUUUGCUUUUUGAUAACCAACUUGCGUACGACAUAACUUAGUCGCCUACAUUGUGGGAAGACGUCACUAAAUUUAAACGACUUAUUUGGCAUAAAAUAAUUUAUUGAAAUGAUGGCGCCGCAGUUUAGUGAUUUUUCUAUAACGGCGUCAAUAGUUUGUUUACCUGGCAUGAGUUUCGUUC